rnacentral:rRNA from 1 species
UACGGGAGGCAGCAGUGGGGAAUCUUAGACAAUGGGCGCAAGCCUGAUCUAGCGAUGCCGCGUGAGUGACGAAGGCCUUAGGGUCGUAAAGCUCUUUCGCCAGGGAUGAUAAUGACAGUACCUGGUAAAGAAGUCCCGGCUAACUCCGUGCCAGCAGCCGCGGUAAUACGGAGGGGACUAGCGUUGUUCGGAAUUACUGGGCGUAAAGCGUACGUAGGCGGAUUAGUCAGUUAGAGGUGAAAUCCCAGGGCUCAACCCUGGAACUGCCUUUAAUACUGCUAGUCUUGAGUUCGAGAGAGGUGAGUGGAAUUCCGAGUGUAGAGGUGAAAUUCGUAGAUAUUCGGAGGAACACCAGUGGCGAAGGCGGCUCACUGGCUCGAUACUGACGCUGAGGUACGAAAGUGUGGGGAGCAAACAGGAUUAGAUACCCUGGUAGUCCACACCGUAAACGAUGAAUGCCAGUCGUCGGGUAGCAUGCUAUUCGGUGACACACCUAACGGAUUAAGCAUCCCGCCUGGGGAUAGGG